CUUGGAGAUAUUGUUGGUUCAGUUCCAGACUACCACAGUAAAGCAUAUAUUGCAAUAUAUCAAUGGCUGUUGAAUGCUCAGGAUGGAGGUCACUGAACAUUGGUGUGGCCCUGAUGAAUUCUUCAAAUAAGACAACAAUGAAGCUUGCUGCCUUGAGUGACUCUUCUUUUGAACACUUAGAGGACAUUGUAAGAGACCUCGCUAGUGGAAUGUCAAAGGCUGCAAUGGAUGACAUACAAGGACUUUUCCAGACUUCCUCCUCAAGCCUCCCUCAUCAUGGAUGUCCAGAAGUUGCCUAUAUAAGAGAUAAGGAAACAGGCCAAGACAGGUUAAAUACCUUGCCCAGGAUCAUACAAGUAGAAGAUGAUAGAGCCUGAAUUCAAUCCCAUGUCCUGACUUCAAAUUCAGCUCUUUUUUUUUAUUAUUUCAUAUCAUAUAUUUUAUUAAGUCUGAUUUCUUCCAUUCUUUAUAACUCCUCUCCACUGUUUCCCAAUCUCCUUUAUAGUUUAUGAAAAUAAAGUCUUGAUAGGCCAAGAAAAUUGCCCA
rnacentral:lncRNA from 1 species